AGACGGGGGGUGCUAGCGUUGUUCGGAAUUACUGGGCGUAAAGGGCGCGUAGGCGGCUCUGCGAGUCGGGCGCGAAAUCCCGGGGCUCAACCCCGGAACGGCGCUCGAUACUGCGGGGCUGGAGACCGGAAGAGGAGGGUGGAAUUCCCAGUGUAGAGGUGAAAUUCGUAGAUAUUGGGAGGAACACCGGUGGCGAAAGCGGCUCUCUGGUCCGGUUCUGACGCUGAGGCGCGAAAGCGUGGGGAGCAAACAGGAUUAGAAACCCUAGUAGUCC
rnacentral:rRNA from 1 species